GAUGAACGCUGGCGGCGUGCCUAAUACAUGCAAGUCGAGCGAACAGACGAGGAGCUUGCUCCUCUGACGUUAGCGGCGGACGGGUGAGUAACACGUGGAUAACCUACCUAUAAGACUGGGAUAACUUCGGGAAACCGGAGCUAAUACCGGAUAAUAUAUUGAACCGCAUGGUUCAAUAGUGAAAGACGGUUUUGCUGUCACUUAUAGAUGGAUCCGCGCCGCAUUAGCUAGUUGGUAAGGUAACGGCUUACCAAGGCGACGAUGCGUAGCCGACCUGAGAGGGUGAUCGGCCAAACUGGAACUGAGACACGGUCCAGACUCCUACGGGAGGCAGCAGUAGGGAAUCUUCCGCAAUGGGCGAAAGCAUGACGGAGCAACGCCGCGUGAGUGAUGAAGGUCUUCGGAUCGUAAAACUCUGUUAUUAGGGAAGAACAAAUGUGUAAGUAACUAUGCACGUCUUGACGGUACCUAAUCAGAAAGCCACGGCUAACUACGUG
rnacentral:rRNA from 1 species